AUGGGCGGCGGCAGCGUGAGCUCCACCACCGUGUCGCCGGACGCUGUGAGCGCCGCUGGCGAUGGAGGCGCGGCCCCGGUCGUCGCAGUAGCCCAGGCGAGCCGUAGCUUGCUGGAACGCCGGUUCCCGCAGGAGGUGUGGCGGCAGGGAGAGUCGGAGCUCCGUCGAGAGGCGAGCCAUGUCCUGAUCUCCCGCACUCCGGCCAUGGAUGCGCUGGAGCUGCGCUUCGGGCGGCACGUGCUUCUGGCAACUGCGGUCGGAGAUGGCGAGCAGACAGUGACGCCGGCAGCCAUGCUGGCGAUCUUGCAGCAACAUUGCGGGGUGGUGCCAUCCGAGGUGGUCGUCGAGUUCGCGUGCCCACCACACGACCUGUGGCUGACCUUCUCGACGGAGGAGAAGUGCUCUGAGGUGCUCCUUUCGUCAAUGAAGAUCAAGUGUUGCCGGCGUUGGAUUUAG
rnacentral:rRNA from 1 species